rnacentral:rRNA from 1 species
CGGGAAACCGGAGCUAAUACCGGAUAAUAUUUUGAACCGCAUGGUUCAAAAGUGAAAGACGGUCUUGCUGUCACUUAUAGAUGGAUCCGCGCUGCAUUAGCUAGUUGGUAAGGUAACGGCUUACCAAGGCAACGAUGCAUAGCCGACCUGAGAGGGUGAUCGGCCACACUGGAACUGAGACACGGUCCAGACUCCUACGGGAGGCAGCAGUAGGGAAUCUUCCGCAAUGGGCGAAAGCCUGACGGAGCAACGCCGCGUGAGUGAUGAAGGUCUUCGGAUCGUAAAACUCUGUUAUUAGGGAAGAACAUAUGUGUA